rnacentral:rRNA from 1 species
GACGAACGCUGGCGGCGUGCUUAACACAUGCAAGUCGAACGAAGAGCGUACGGAAGCUUGCUUCUAUCAAUCUUAGUGGCGAACGGGUGAGUAACGCGUAAUCAACCUGCCCUUCAGAGGGGGACAACAGGUUGGAAACGACUGCUAAUACCGCAUACGAUCUAACCUCGGCAUCGAGGAUAGAUGAAAGGUGGCCUCUACAUGUAAGCUAUCACUGAAGGAGGGGAUUGCGUCUGAUUAGCUAGUUGGAGGGGUAACGGCCCACCAAGGCGAUGAUCAGUAGCCGGUCUGAGAGGAUGAACGGCCACAUUGGGACUGAGACACGGCCCAG